rnacentral:rRNA from 1 species
UCGGGAAUUUUGGGCAAUGGGCGAAAGCCUGACCCAGCAACGCCGCGUGAGGGAUGAAGUAUUUCGGUAUGUAAACCUCGAAAGAAUGGGAAGAAUAAAUGACGGUACCAUUUAUAAGCUCCGGCUAACUACGUGCCAGCAGCCGCGGUAAUACGUAGGGAGCAAGCGUUGUUCGGAUUUACUGGGCGUAAAGGGCGCGUAGGCGGCGCGGUAAGUCACUUGUGAAAUCUCUGAGCUUAACUCAGAACGGCCAAGUGAUACUGCUGUGCUAGAGUGCGGAAGAGGCAACCGGAAUUCUGGGUGUAGCGGUGAAAUGCGUAGAUAUCAAGAGGAACACCUGAGGCGAAGGCGGGUUGCUGGGCCGACACUGACGCUGAUGCGCGAAAGCCGGGGGAGCAAACG